rnacentral:rRNA from 1 species
AUAUCAUAACGAAGAGGUAUCGUAAUUGAAGAGGUUUGGAAAGACCCACCACAGAAGGUAAUAGUCCUGUAUGUUAAACGAGAAGACUUCAGAUAUGAUCCAGAGUACCACGGGACACGUGAAACCCUGUGGGAAGCAGGAGGGACCACCCUCCAAGGCUAAAUACUACCUAGUGACCGAUAGCGUAUAGUACCGUGAGGGAAAGG